CAGAUUGAACGCUGGCGGCAUGCCUUACACAUGCAAGUCGAACGGUAACAGGUUAAGCUGACGAGUGGCGAACGGGUGAGUAAUGUAUCGGAACGUGCCUAGUCGUGGGGGAUAACGUAGCGAAAGCUACGCUAAUACCGCAUACGAUCCAUGGAUGAAAGCGGGGGACCUUCGGGCCUCGCGCGAUUAGAGCGGCCGAUAUCAGAUUAGGUAGUUGGUGGGGUAAAGGCCCACCAAGCCGACGAUCUGUAGCUGGUCUGAGAGGACGACCAGCCACACUGGGACUGAGACACGGCCCAGACUCCUACGGGAGGCAGCAGUGGGGAAUUUUGGACAAUGGGCGCAAGCCUGAUCCAGCAAUGCCGCGUGCAGGACGAAGGCCUUCGGGUUGUAAACUGCUUUUGUACGGAGCGAAAAGGCUCUCUCUAAUAAAGGGGGCUCAUGACGGUACCGUAAGAAUAAGCACCGGCUAACUACGUGCCAGCAGCCGCGGUAAUACGUAGGGUGCGAGCGUUAAUCGGAAUUACUGGGCGUAAAGCGUGCGCAGGCGGUUAUGUAAGACAGAUGUGAAAUCCCCGGGCUCAACCUGGGACCUGCAUUUGUGACUGCAUAGCUAGAGUGCGGCAGAGGGGGAUGGAAUUCCGCGUGUAGCAGUGAAAUGCGUAGAUAUGCGGAGGAACACCGAUGGCGAANGCAAUCCCCUGGGCCUGCACUGACGCUCAUGCACGAAAGCGUGGGGAGCAAACAGGAUNAGAUACCCUGUNGUCCACGCCCUAAACGAUGUCNACUGGUUGUUGGGUCUUCACUGACUCAGUAACG
rnacentral:rRNA from 1 species